AGGAAGCCUCCAAUCAUGGCGGAAGGCAAGCGGAGCUGGCGCUUCACAUGGUUGAUCGAAGCUGGCAGAGGAUAGAAGAGCUCUGUGGCCGAGUGAGCUGUUUCUGGAGCCAGAUGAGUCUUUGGCAGAGCCUGAGGUCCCCUGCUACUACUGGGCCAAGACGAAUUGACAGAACUUCCAAAACACUUUGCAAAGACAGCGAGUGCACAAAGCUGCAGCUCACAGCCUUGUCCCGUGGCCGGGAGACAGGAUGCAUGCUGAGCUGCUGGGAGGAGGGACAGGAGGAAAAGUGCCUGCAGCUGCAGGAGCACCCACUUGAGAUGCCUCCUGUGUUCAAUCAAGUUCAGAGUAAUUGCUUCCUCACUCCUCCUGGCAAAACUGUUCAACUUGGCACAGUGACAGCUCCUUGUAGAGUUUUUCCAGCUGAUGUCAUUCUUCCUAAGGUCUGCUAGGGUCCCAGCUAACACGACUGUGUUGCACUGGCAUCCAGACCUCCACCAGGAGCAAUUCAAAGGCCUAUUUUUGUGAAUAUGUGGCAAAGAUCCCAGGCUCCAUGGAGGCCUUUUGCACUGGGGACAUGGUGGAAAAUUAAGCCCCAGAGGUAACUACCUACCUGAACGGCAUGAGACCAGCUGAUUAGAUGACAGAAUGGGCAGAUCCGUGGAAGGGAUUGAGUGAGCACUAACAUCGAGCAUUCUUAUAAACUAAGUGAGACUGCAAGAGUCAGGGGCCACUGUGCACAAUUGUGUGAGCUGUGUUUUGCAGCAGGUGUCUGGGGAGCUCAAAUCCACCCACAAAGGGAAGCCUUUCUGACUUGUACAAAGGGCCAUAAGUGGUGGCUCGAACCUGAGGCUCUACCAUGCAGUGAGUGUGGAGAUGUGGAGAUGGGUACACAGGAAUGGACAAUCUAGAGAGGGGAAGAGACUAACAUCCAGCAGCACGUUAACUGUGAAAGCAAACUAAAUAUGGCCUGAGAAGGACUCCAUACUUCUAUAUUUGAGUCCUCGCGGAUGGACUGUAACCUAGCUUAAUAGGCGGACAAAAUUGCAAACAUAACCUGGUAGUAUGCACCUCCAACAAUAGCUAAGUCUUGGCCAACCCCAGUGGCCAUACUCAACCAACCAUACACUGCUGAGUGUUCAAAUUAGGCAUACGCCAAGCAGUAACCAAUCCAGCUGUUUUAUACUUCACUUCUAAUUUCUGUACAUCAUUCCCCCCCCCCCACCUUUUUUUGUCUAUAAAUCUUCUCCACCUGGCUGUGCUGGAGUCUCUGUGAACCUGCUGUGAUUCUGGGGGCUGCCCAAUUCUCAAAUCGAUCAUUGCUCAAUUAAACUUUAAAUUUAAUUCA
ensembl:lncRNA novel transcript